UACGAAGGGGGCUAGCGUUGCUCGGAAUUACUGGGCGUAAAGGGAGCGUAGGCGGAUAGUUUAGUCAGAGGUGAAAGCCCCAGGGCUCAGCCUUGGAAGUGCGCUCGAAACGGCGAGGCUGGAGUGCCGGAGGGGAGAGUGGAAUUCCCGGUGUAGCGGUGAAAUGCGCAGAUAUCAGGAGGAACACCAAUGGCGAAGGCAGUGUCCUGGGGAGUACCUGACGCUCAGGUGCGAAAGCCAGGGGAGCGAACGGG
rnacentral:rRNA from 1 species